UUAAUAUUUAUUUAUUAAUUUUUUUUUUUUUAUUUAUAAUUUAUUAAAAAUAAUUAUAUGAUUUAAUGUUUUAGUAAUUUUUAAUGAAAAAAUAAUAUUAAUGAUAGUUUAUUAAGUAUUGUAAAAGAUAAUUGAAAUAAUUUGAAAAAUUUUUAUUUAAAAAGAAAAUUUUAUUUAUUGUACCUUGUGUAUCAGGGUUUAUCUAAUAAUUAAUAAUUAUUUUUAUUAAUCUCGAUUUUAUAAGAGUUAAUUAUUUAUUAAAGUUAAUGUGUCAAAAUUAUUUUAAAUAAGUAAUUAGAAAUGAAAUGUUAUUCGUUUAUAAAGGUAUCUAGUUUUUUUAGAAAUAAAUUUAAUUUACAAAUUUUUAAUUUUUUAUUUAUUUAUUUAAUAAAAAAAAUUAUUUAUUUGAAUAUUUUAAGGGAUAAGCUUUAAAAUAAAUUAUUAAAAAUUAGUAAUUUAAUUGAAAAAUGUAUGAAUAGAAUUUUCAAUCGUUUAUAAGUUUGUUAUAAAUUAUUUUAUAAUUUAUAUUAUUUAUUAUUAUUUUAAGUUUUUAUAAAAAUUUUUUCAUAAAUUUUUUAUGAAAAUUAAUAAUGAUAAAAUUAGUAUAUUUAUAUUGUAUAUAUAAUUUUAUAUGAUAAGUUUAUGUAAAGAACUCGGCAAAUUUAUAUUCUCGCCUGUUUAACAAAAACAUGUCUUUUUGAGUUAUUUUUAAAGUCUGACCUGCCCACUGAAUAAUUUUAAAUGGCCGCAGUAUUUUAACUGUGCAAAGGUAGCAUAAUCAUUAGUCUUUUAAUUGAAGGCUGGUAUGAAUGGUUGGACGAAGAAUAAACUGUUUCAUAUAAAUUUAUUAUAGAAUUUUAUAUUUUAGUAAAAAAGCUAAAGUAUAAUUAAAAGACGAGAAGACCCUAUAAAUCUUUAUAUUUAUUAUUAUUUUAAUUUUUUAGAUAUAUUUUAUUUUAAUAAUAUAAAAUAUUUUGUUGGGGUGAUGUUAAAAUUUAAUGAACUUUUAAUUAUUGAAAAUCAUUAAUUUAUGAUUUAUUGAUCCGUUAAUAACGAUUAUAAGAUUAAGUUACUUUAGGGAUAACAGCGUAAUUUUUUUGGAGAGUUCUUAUCGAUAAAAAAGUUUGCGACCUCGAUGUUGGAUUAAGAUAUAUCUUUAGGUGUAGCCGCUUAAAUAUUUAAGUCUGUUCGACUUUUAAAUUCUUACAUGAUCUGAGUUCAGACCGGCGUAAGCCAGGUUGGUUUCUAUCUUUAAUUUAUUGUAAUAUUUUAGUACGAAAGGACCAGAUAUUAAAAUAAUUAUAUUUUAAUUAAAGAAUAUUAUUAAUUA
rnacentral:rRNA from 1 species